AGUCACAGAUUCUACUCAUCACAGUGAGGUGGAGAUAGAGCCUUUGUGUGAACUCAGUAAGCUUCCAUGGGAUGCUCAGGUCAAGGAUGUUCAAGAUGUGAGAAGUCUUUUUGAGAAAGAUUCUAGGGCUGUUCGGUCUGUGUCACCUAGUAAGUUUCUUGAGCCGCUUAUCACAUUCUUGAAGAACGCUCAUGAGAGAAAUGGCACUGAGGGAGACGUAGUAAAGUGUGGUUUGGAUUUGUUAUUGACUUUCCUCAGUGGAAACAGGAAGGCUAUAGAGAGCUUGAAAGAAGACUUGUUUGAAAUGUUGUGUGUCUUUCUUGGGUCAGAGUUAGUAGCUGAAGAAGCUCUAAACGUACUUGAGGUUCUCUCUAAUCAUCCACAGAGUCUCUCAAAGAUAACUUCAACAAGCUCUCUCUCUUCCCUUUUGAAGAUAGCUGAGUCUGGAGCACAACAUCUUCAAGAACAAGCUAUGAUCACACUCAAGAACCUCUCUGCAACCAAUGAGAUUUGUGCGGAAAUGGUCUCUCUCGGUUUUGUCCAUAAGCUCACAUCUUUCUUGCAACAAAACGUUUUCAGCAAACAUUCAAUCAUCAUGCUGAAGAAUCUCUGCAACACUGAGAAAGGUAGGGUUUGUGUAACUGAGACCCCUGGUUGUUUAGCUUCAAUAGCUGAUUUACUGGACUCAAAUGUUUCUGAGGAGCUAGAGAAUGCGAUCUCCAUCCUCCUCCAGCUCUGCGUGGAGAAGAUAGACUAUUGUUAUCUUUUGGUGAGAGAAGGCCUUAAUAUUUACUCAUCUCUUCUCUUGAUAUCCAACAAUGGAACCGAGGAAGCUAAGGUGGGUGCAUCUGAGUUGCUUAGAGCUCUUGAAGAAGUAGUAGAAGAAGAAGAAGAAUCCUCCACACCACAAGAAGAAGCAACUACUUCACAGGUUGUUGUUGCUCCAGUUACGUAUCAGGAACCUGUAGUAACAGCACCAUCUCCAAAGAAGUCUGGUCUUUUUGGGCUCAGAUUCAUUCUCAAGAAGAAAAAGAUAAAAUCAUAAGUUUUGUUAACUUACUUUUUUAAGAAGCUAUCAUUUUUUUUGUGUGGUUCUCUCUUUGUUGACUUAGGGUUUGUAUAUGUUGAUACCUGUCUAAAGAGCUUCCAUUAAUGUUAAGUGUAGUUGUAGUUUGAUAGGGGGAAUGUAUUGUGAGGAGAAUAGUUUGUAAUUUGUAAAUCAUUAAAUAAUAAAAGUUGGGUGAGAAAUAAAUUUAUUUUUGAGAUAUUUUAUAUACUACAAAAAAAAAUUAUAUACUACAAUGUACAACAAGGAAUUGUUGUGACCACAAGAGUUUUUUUUCUUUCUUCAACACAUACAUAUCCCCUAGAAUAAAUUUCCUUAUACAGUAGAUGGAAAGAUCUUUGGAUUGGUUUCCUCUGUCUUUCUGGUUCAGAUUUCAGAUAACAUAGAGAAAAUGAUAAGACAAAAAAAAUUGCCAUUUUUUCAGUGAGCCUUAUCCCUAAUUUGUUACUCGAGGCUGAAGAAACUUGAAACUGAAUCGGUUCUCAAGUUGUUGUAAAGAGAUUGUGAGUGAAUUUCCCAGCCUGAAGAUGUUUGAUCUUUCUGCAGGAAAGAAAACAAAUGGAAAUAGGUUGCUUCAGGGACAAGAAAACAAGAAUUAAGUAAUACAUAAAGAUUUGCCUGAGGGAAAAGAUUAUUACAGAGCCGAGAGUUGUGGUUUGGAUUGAGUUUAUGACAGAGUAAUCUAGAGAUUCUUGAUGUUGUAAUGGAAAAGAACUUGCAUCCACCAUCAUUAACUGCUUCGAGAGAAAAAAAUGUCACAAGAAAAAUAAAUCCCGACGAAUAAGGAGCUAAAACACGAAUGUGGUGGAGGAACUCUAAUCUCUUGGCGGUGUCCCAUGUAAAGGAACGAUGGUGGUCCUGGUGGAUGAAUAUCUUUAUAGUCUGGUACAAUACAUGUUGGAUGAUGGGUCUUCUGCAUCGUCUACAAACGUUUCCACCAUCGUCUAUGUCUCCUUCGUCACUACACCAAAGUUGAUUACGUUUCUGCCAUUGAUGUCGUUAUCAUAUAUGUCACAGUUACAUUAUCAUCGGAAAUAUGCCUUGACCUAUCUUAAAAGAUAGAUUAAACAACAUAGAUCAUAAUUAUAUGUAAGUUUUUGUGAAAAAACAAUCUGAAGAAUCAGAUUCUAAUUUAAAAACAAAUAGAAAGCUUAGAAGGAAGAAGACAAAGAAGAAAGAAAGAAGAAUAUAAAAUAAUAUAAAAUUAAUAUUUUAUUGUUUAAUUGGAUUUUAGUUAGAUUUCAAUUAUUAGAAGAAAUGAAACGUGUAUUGGAGAAAGAGAAAAUGUCUGAGUAGAAUAAACUGUCUUACAGUGUUAUUAAAAACUCGAAAUUGUCUGUCUUACAGUGUUAUUAAAAACUCGAAAUUGUCUUACAGCGUAAUUCUUUCAUUGCUUAAUUGGUUAGCUCUUUCUUAUGGUUGGUGCCUCUUCUUGACUUCUCUUGUCGUAGACAGAUAAUAGUAUAAAAUAGGCACUUGCCACUUGCGCGUUAAAAUGUACUUUCACCUACCCGUUGGAUCUAUUCAGUACUUUUGUCUACCACCAACUCUAUCCGUGUGCCAUACCAAAACAAAAACCUAAACCUAAAAAGCUACACUGAAACCAAUCUUGAUUAUCAUACGGGAGAAAAACAUUCCAAAGAUUAAGUUGAUUUAUUUUGUAAAGCGUUGUCGCAAUUAGUUAACUAAGCAUCUUUUAUUUUGAGGCUGAGAGUAGUUGUUGCUUGUCAAUGAGUAGGUGUGGCCAAUCAUAUUAUAUAUUUAGGGAAAACAUAAUUAUACCAAAUCGUUGGCUAGACUUAGAAUUUACUUAAAUAACUAUCUUACACUACUUAUGUUUUAUUCUUCUUCGUAAUCAAUCUCUUCCCCACCACAUUAAUCAUGAUGUGGAUUAAAUUUCGAUUUGGAAAAUCCAAAUAUUUGGUUUUUGGUAGGCCAACUCUAGGUCAGAGCCAGCAGGUUACAUCAGAUAACAAAUUCUUGUUCUCGCUUUGGCCAUUAAGGAGCAUUUAUGCAUUUUCACAUUAGGAUAUUGAUGUUAUGUCCAUUUUACGACACAACUUUAUCAGUUUUAGAACAAACAAUAGCCAUACUUAUUUAACUUUUAAAAGAAAAUUUUGUAAACCCAUCAGUUCUAUGACCAACUACUAACACUAUUAUUCACCGUAUGAUGUACAACAUCAAUCAUCAAAUCUAGAUAAACCCAAGUAGCAGUUUUUGGGCUUGUACACUGUACAAUGUAAAUAAUCUAUUAUUCAAAUCAUCUAUCAUCAAUUCUAGGAACAAAACCUCAAACCCAUGAUAACUAUUACAACAACUUUAAAAUUCCUUGGCCCUUUCUCACAAAAAAAUAAACUUUAAAAUUCCGAUACUUAAAUAAGUUCCCUACAAUAUAAUCAUAAGUUAUUCAGCUCUAGGGUAUUAUACUAUCCUGAGCAGAUAAGCCACUCUAUGCAUCACAUACAAUCGUAGAAAAAAUUCAGUUUAGAUUAGGCAUUUAGCAAGUGGAGGAAGAAUAAAAGAUGGACCAGUCAACGGAUUGCGUCGACAAGUCUUACACAAAUGUUGAUAAUAUGCGUUUGCGAAGGUUGUGGUUACAAGAAAGUAUCAUAUCCACACACACUCUCUUGUAUUGGUUGGUUGUAUAAAUAACAUUUUUAGAUUUUGGAAGAUUUACACGUUGGAGUAAAAAAAAAUUCACAAACUUCGGAGUGACUUUAUACUUUGUGAUGUAAUUUUGUUGGCAAAUAAAGAAUACGCCAAAAAAUAUUUCGCAAUAGUAACCCCAAAGCGACAUUACAUGUUUUGAACGCGUGCCUUUUGAAUGGUUCACGUUUAAGAAAAAUAAGAUUUUGUCAAGUAUAUGUGCAUAUUGACAUUUGAUAGCAAACAUUAUAGAUGUGUAGUUACUUAAUGUAUGCUCAUCAUGAAUAGCAAGGUAAGACCGAAUAAAUGACAAAUAUUUUACUUAAGACACACAAUAAGACACCAUAGCGUAGACCAAUAUAUCUUUACGACCAGAAAAAAGCGAUCUUACUUGCAUCACUAUCAAUCUAUUAGAAAGAAUGGUUAAAAUCAUUAGUUUAACAAACUUUAAAACGAUAAUAUUUUUUAAAGAGAAAAAGAAAAAAAAAAGAGAAAAAGACUAUUGCUCAGAUUCUUUCCACUAAAGAAAAAAAAGAAAAAAAGAAAAGAAAAGAAGUUUAAAAAAGUUGUGAAAGAAUUACUAAAAAUAUAAAAUUGUUUGCAUGUCUAUUGACCUGACCAUUACGAGCACCAUUAAGACCUCGUCCUUUCAAUUUAGUCUGCGCUUGACACGGCACUCUUAUGAUGUAACCACCAGUAAUCCCUUUGGACCAAACACACUGGUCACGUAGAAUCCAUCACGGCCCAAUCAUCAACCUUUUAUAAUUUGCAAGCUCAACGAUUUAAAAUCGACUGUCAUUCACCAAAGGCUGUCACUUUAACACUUCAGCACUCUGUUUUUAUUUCUCUCUCUGCUUUUCCUUAAUCUUUCAUCUCCUUCUCUGUUCUCCAAAGUUAAUACCCUUUUAUUCAACCCUCGAGCGAUCUUUGGACGAACUAACCUCGAAAGACUGAAUCUUUUUCUUGACCCACCAAGAAAAAGUUAGUCUUUGUUUCCCGGAAAAACCGAGAGUUUCAGUUUGUUCCUUUUAGGAUUUACUUAAGUUGAGGGAGUUAUGCUCAAGGUCUUAGCUGAAGUUCUCGCUUCUUAUCAAUCACUUCUUGUUUCUUUUGCUGAUUCAAAGUGGCUCUGCUGGGAAAGUCUUCAGCUUUAUGUUCUAGGGCUUUGAAACUGUUUGUGAUUGUGGAGAAAGAUAAGCUGAGAUCAUAGGGUAAGUCAAUUUUCUUACAGUUAUCUCUGCUUUGGUUUGGUUGGAGAACUUGUCCUAAAAGAACCUUUAUAUAUGUUUAUAAAACUUGCAGAAUUUAGAAACUUUCUUGUUUAGAUGGGAAUUGACACCACUCAACGUAUAGAGGAGAUGUCUUACUCCUUCAAGGUUGGUUCUAAGAAUCUCUUAUGUUGAUUUUUUUAAUUAUUUUUUGCCUUAAAGUUAUGUUAUUUUAAUAACAUGUUUGGUCUUGCUCUACUUCAGAUGCACGCUUCCAUCUGCUUAGCCUUGAAGAACUUAGUUGAUAGAGUUAUGAAAAUCUUUCCUGAAAUAGAAGCUGCUAGACCUGGAUCUACCACAGGGAUACAGACUCUAUGUUUGCUCAACAAAGCUCUGGAGAAAGCUAAGCUGCUUCUUCAGUACUGCAGUGAAUCCAGUAAACUCUACAUGGUUUGUCAACCUCCUCUCACAUUUUAUGUACUUUUUUAUCACUCCAUGUGAUUAAUAUGUUUUGCUUCAAUCUUCAGGCAGUAACAGGGGAUGCUAUACUCUCAAGAGGUUCUAGAUCCAAAAAGUUAUUAGAACAAAGCUUAUCUGAUAUCAGAACCAUGGUACCUACUGCUUUGUCUAUCAAGGUUUGUAACCAAACUCUGUUUUAACUUUUUGUUAAAUUCGGGUUUAUCAUGAGCUUCCAACUUAAAACUAAUUGGUAAUAAGUGGAUUGGUCCUAACCGUUUAUGUAUUAUUCAUAUCCCAGCUAAACUUCGAUGUAGGAGCUUGCAGUCUCAAUUACUUUUCUUGUUUUGUGGAAAAUGCUGAAUCAAUUGUUGCUUGCAGAUACUUGAGGUACUCCAAGAUCUUAAGUCAACAGAGUUGUCUCUAGAAUCAUCUGAAGAAGAAGCUGGGAAAGCUAUCAGGGAACUGAUGAGACGGAGCACAUCUUCUUCUGUGUCUUCUGAUGAGAUAAGAGAUUUUCAUUUUGCAGCACUAAAGCUCCAGCUUUCAACACCUGAAGCCGUUGUGGUAGAGAGAAGAUCAUUAAAGUCGCUUUAUGGGAAGCUAGGAGAGUGUGAAGGGAACAAGAGACAGAUUCUGAAGUAUCUCCUCUGCCUCCUGAAGAAGCAUGAGAAAAUCAUUUGGAGUGAUCACAAAGAGAUCUCUCUCAGACAGCAACACUCUGUGGAUGAUUCUGUGUCUGCUAGUGUUGCAGAAGCCGGGUGUUCUGAGGAACACAACAGUGAUACACUUCCUGAACAGUUCAAGUGUCCUCUCUCUCUUACUGUCAUGUAUGAUCCUGUCAUCAUCUCCUCAGGCCACACGUUUGAGAGGAUGUCGAUUCAGAGAUGGUUUGAUUUAGGUAAUGACACAUGUCCUAUAUCAAAAAGGGUACUAGAUGAUUUCACAUUGCAGUCCAAUGUAGCGAUGAAGGAUCAGAUAUCAAAAUGGUGCAAGAAGCACGGUCUUGAUGUUCAAGAUCCAGCAAUGAAGCACACAGAGAACGCUUCACAGAAUCUUGACUUCUCCAUUGCUAGUUUUACAAGUUCUCUGUACAAUAUACCAGACCUCAGCUGCUUCACGAGUAGGGACUUCAGCUCUAGCUUCUCCACUGAUUCGCCAUCAUACUCUAGGAUGUCCAGGGGUGGCUACUUCAUGCCAAUGCAGACGAUAGCUUCUGAGUCAGGAACUGAAGUCACAGAUUCUACUCAUCACAGUGAGGUGGAGAUAGAGCCUUUGUGUGAACUCAGUAAGCUUCCAUGGGAUGCUCAGGUCAAGGAUGUUCAAGAUGUGAGAAGUCUUUUUGAGAAAGAUUCUAGGGCUGUUCGGUCUGUGUCACCUAGUAAGUUUCUUGAGCCGCUUAUCACAUUCUUGAAGAACGCUCAUGAGAGAAAUGGCACUGAGGGAGACGUAGUAAAGUGUGGUUUGGAUUUGUUAUUGACUUUCCUCAGUGGAAACAGGAAGGCUAUAGAGAGCUUGAAAGAAG
rnacentral:lncRNA from 1 species